UAGAAGUUUCGCCUUUGAAGUUUUAAGGUUCAGACCCAAAAAUCUCUAUCCAUCAUCUUCUUCUCCUUCGUUCUAUCCUCAUCGCUAGUGGAAGUGGAGGCUCAUCACUGCUCUGAUAUGUUCAGGUCGCUGGAGUUGGUGUACUGAUCGCAAGCUUGAUCUGGCGCUGAAUCUGUUAUUCUCCUCUUGAGUGAUACUCUGUCUUCCUUCUUUCUGGUUCAAGCGUAAAUCUCGUCUUCUCUUCCUAUUUGGUCGACAGCUUCUUGAUCUUCCCCCCCUGCUGUUAUUGGUAAUUAAGACGCACGCAUAAGAAUGAGAAAUUUUGAGAUCCUUCGACUCAAGCUUCGUCGAUGCCAGCUCCCUUUGUUCCUCUUCGAUUUUUUCGAUGAGUUCUUGUUGUUUUGCCUCCAGCCAAGUCUUCCCCAUUUUUCCUCUUCUUUUCUUCUCUUUUUCAGUGGUGCACACGUGUUCUGGACCAGAGGAAGAGAGUUGGAGAUUUUUCUUGGUUCCAGUAGCUUCGAGCCUUUGAUCCAACCAUCUCUGUCCUCAACCCUUGUCCCUGUUGCUCCUCUAGUCGCCGGCAACCUUGAGAACGCCAGAAUCCUCACUGUGGGUAGUUCACAGUGCUUCGUCUAGCUCUCCCCUCUUUUGUAUCAUUUUUCCUUCUUCAGCAUCUGUGUAAAUAUGUGAUGUUUGGAAGGAGGGAAGCUCAAAUAGAGUCAUAAGAAAUGAUUUUGGGAGCUUUGAGGAUGUUACAGAUCAGUGGAUAACGUUCCAAUCAAUUUAUAUAUAUUUGAAAAUUUUCUUGUAUCAACUAUUAUUUUCAAUAAUUUACAAUCAUUAA